rnacentral:tmRNA from 1 species
GCUCUUUCAAAAUGGUUCAGUCUUUCUUAUAUUGCGAAUGCCGGCCGCAAGGUCGGCUAUGGCGAUAAACGGCUAUCGGAAUAAACCCAUCGGACCCGGGGGCGGUACCCGGCGCCUCCACCAAAACCCAGGCUCAGCAUGGGUUUUGGCGGGGGCGAAAUAGGAUCGACGAGGGCGUAAAGGGUAGACUUUCACUCGGCAUGGUUCCGCCGUUAUCGGGCCGAUUCAAUAGUUGCCAACGACAACUAUGCUCCGGUUGCAGUGGCUGCGUAAGCGGUCCCUAACACCGACUCAAAGUCCUAACGGGUAGCACCGCUAGGCGGGGUCCGGAGGCACCUGGCAACAGAAGCCUCCACU